GAAGGUAUAGUGCAGUGGUAGAGUGCAUGCCUAGCAUGCACGAGGUCUUGGGUUCAAUCCCCAGUACCUCCA
rfam:Camelus ferus unplaced genomic scaffold scaffold266, whole genome shotgun sequence.